rnacentral:rRNA from 1 species
GGAUGAAUCUUGCGCAAUGGCCUAACGGCUGACGCAGCGACGCCGCGUGAGGGAUGACGCUCUUCGGAGUGUAAACCUCUUUUGCCCGGGACGAAUUGCCAACUUUCGUUGGCUUGACGGUACCGGGUGAAUAAGCACCGGCUAACUCCGUGCCAGCAGCCGCGGUAAUACGGGGGGUGCGAGCGUUGUCCGGAAUCACUGGGCGUAAAGGGCGCGUAGGUGGUCUUAUAAGGGUGUGGUGAAAGCCCGGGGCUCAACCCCGGGUCGGCCGUGCCGACUGUAAGACUCGAGUGCUGUAGGGGCAGGCGGAAUUCCGGGUGUAGCGGUGGAAUGCGUAGAGAUCCGGAGGAAGACCGGUGGCGAAGGCGGCCUUGCUGGGCAGUUACUGACACUGAGGCGCGACAGCGUGGGGAGCAAACA